rnacentral:lncRNA from 1 species
AAAGAAUCGAUCUCGGUUAGAAAUCAUCAGAAUCCCCAACAAGAAACAAAUGAAACCUACUAACCCUCUCAUUCAACAAAAUUUGUAAACCCAUAAUACGUAUGACAUUCCCAGCAAAAGAAUACUGAAAUAGAAAGAAAAGUGUAGAGAAGGCAAAUCCCAAAUUAAAUUUUUAGCAUCAAUUUGCAUUUGGGUGGCCAGUCAAAGAAAAGCGUUUGACCACAUCUCAAUGACAUUUUUCCACUCUAUUUUCAUCUGGUUACAGCUACUCCAUAAUAAAGAAUAAAAAAUUGAUUCAUAUAAGCUUGUACAAUAGUACACGAUCUAUUUAUAGUUUAUUUACACAUACAGAUUUGAGUCCUCUUUAUGAUUGAAAAAUAUGAAUAAUAACCAAAACAGUUCACCAUACCGAGUUCCACUCGAGAAAAUAUGAGAUACCAAAUGAAACAACUUAUAGUAGAUUUAUACCUUUUGAUCGCUCCAUAGCCAUGACUACCAACAACCAAUAUGGAGGCAUGAUGCUUCUCUACAGCCUCACAGAGGAUAUUUCGAGCAUCUCCUUCCACCACCUCAACAACAAAGUCAUGCACCUAAACAAAACAGAACUACUAAUUUACAGAAAUGAUACCAGAAGGGAAACAAUUGUUAAGUAUACGUAUUAUAAUCUGGUAUACUAAAAUUGGGGAAAGAUAAAAGGAUAAGCGUGAAUACUUACAACUCAGAUCCACCAAUUUAGAAAGGUUAAUUUUGGAUUAUCGAUCACAAAAUAACAGUUCUCGAAGUACCUCUAAACUAUUCUAAACCUUAACUUACCUCAGUUUGGGUUCAAAAAAUUAAAUAAAAAUUGAGAGUGCAUUGAUGAAAAAUUUUUCAUCUUCUUAACAUAAAUUAGGGAAAGUUGAUGUUUAUAAGAGUAUUUUGAAGAUUAUCAUUUCACGAGUGGGGCAAUCUAAAGAUUUUUAAACUGUACUACAAACGUGUAUCUGUAUAUAGAAUCUCAGACGAUCCCAAGAUUGUAAUUUAUUUAUAGAUUGUAAUAUCAUUAAAAAGAAAUAACAAACUAAUCAUUACCGAUUUACUGCUACAGAUUUCUUUAGCCUCCUCCACAACCCUUGCAGCAAUCUUCUUGAAAUCUGAGUCCACAUGAGGCAAAACCUCGACAGCUCCUGCGAUAAAUUAAAACUAAAAACCAGUUACUUGAUCACCAAGAAAGAAAGACAAAACAAACAAAUUAAAAUCGCAAACUAAAAUCGAACAAAGGACAACAAAAUCUAUUACUUAAUUUUUAAAACAUGCAAAGCAAGGACAAAUGCCAAAGGAUUAAUUAGUUAGAUUUAUAAUUACUUUACCAGGUCCAGCGAGGCCAAUAACAGCUGAAGGGGAAGGUCUGGCGUGAACGAUGACGAGUUUGAAAGGAGGAUUUACAGUCGAAUUUGCGAAGAAAUGAUCGAGCGUCCAUUGAAGCGCGUACGUGCUCUGCUCGCUAUCGUCGAUCCCUACCACCAUCGUUUGUGUCUCCGCCGUCGCCAUUGAGACGAUGUCUACUCAACUUUUUUUUUUUUCCUUUUUAGCUGUGUGUUAUUCAGAAAGUUGCAGAGUUUGUUCGAUUUCUAAUCUAUAUAUAAGCGAAUAAAUCUAAGAGACAGCGAAAUGAUCAUACUUUUUAUCUAGAUAAGAUGAGAACGUAGCAAGUAAAGGAGGUUGCGGGCGAUUGGCGGAAAGUGCUUUAAUGAGUCUGGCGUUUAAUUUUGAAAAGUUAGAAAAAAUUAAUUUUAGUAUUUAUUUUUUAGGGUUAUAAAUUAAUUUUAAAAUAUUAAAAUUUAAUUUUAAUAUUUGGUAAAUUAUUUUUAGAAAAAUCACUUUAUUUUAUAGUGGAUUUUCAGAAGUAUGGAAUGAGUAAUUUUUUAAAAUUUAAUUUUGAGAAUUAAUUUUACAUCUAAUGCUUUCACUCACACACAGAUAAAAAGUAAAAAUGUAAAAUUAAUCUUAUUAAUUAGAAAAUAAAAUCAUUAAAUUUAAAUAUAUUAUUAUUAUUAUUAUUAUUACUAUUUAUAUUGUGAUAACAAAAUAAAAAAUAAACUACUAGUAUAAAAUAUUUAUUUUAAUUAUUAAUUAUUUUCUAUGCACAUAAAAAUUAUUUUAUAAAUAUGUUUAUAAAUAUCUAAAUAAAUUUUACUUAACGUUUAUUUAAUUCAGUUAUUUAUAUUCUUAUAAUAAAUAAAAUUUACCAAAUGCAUACAAUUACUUUUCAAACUCACAGCAAUUUUAGAAAUAAAUUUUAUGAAAUAUUUAAUUAACUUUAUUCGUAGCUGAUUAUUUUUAUAUCGUAGUUAACAAUAAUUAUUUUAAAACCUUAGUAUUAUCAAAUUGGCCUUAAAACUCAAACCUUUUUUCUGGAUGUUUUUGUAGUUUUGUUAUCAACUUAUCAGAUAGGGAAUGUUUUAUUGUAAUUUUACAACCCAUCCCAUAUUAACAUGGGCCAGGUCCAGUUCGAGGUAUCAAACCCAGCAACCUACAACCAAUAAUUUUUAAGAAAAAUUAUCCACCGUCCACCUGUUUUUUCACCAUUUUUUAAAAAUACACAAAUCUUUUUUUUUUUUUUUUUUUUGCAGUGCUCCACCUAAAGUUAACAUUUUUUUCAUUGAUUCACUCUCGUUAUUAUUAACAUUUAUGUAUCCACAAUAUUGAUUUUGAUGAUAACAAACAAAAUUAAGAGUGAUUAACCUUUUAAAAGAGGAAUCAAUUUGUGGAAUCAUUCUUUAAAUACAUGUAAAGUUUGUCAUCAUCAAAAAAGGGGAGAUUGUUAAUAUUUAUGUUAUUAUGUAUCCAUAAUAUUGAUUUUGAUGAUAACAAACAAAAUUAAGAAUGAUUAACCUUUUAAAAGCACAAGUUAUUUUUUAUGCUUUUUAAAUAAAUCAUUAUCUUCAUAUUAUAAAGGUUUUAUAUUUAAUGAAAAAUGAUUUUAUGAAAUUGGUUGUUUUUCAAGUUUAUGGUCUAAUUGAAAGUAUUACUUGAAAUUACGAAAAUAGACUUGUUUGAAAAGUUUCAUAAAGUUUUGGGCCAUAGUUUUAUUAUUGAAAGUUUUGGGGUAAAAUUAUAAUUUUAGAAAAUAGUUAAUUGUAGCAGUCACUGUAGCAAAUGGCUAACCGACAUCUUGAUGAUGGCUAGCCAAUAUCAAGUAGAAUUGAAGAGUUGCCUCUGGACACUAACGGCCGACAACUUGAAAAUUAUGUCCAACGGUAACUUGGACUAGUCAAAACAGCGAUCCAACUUCGAGUUAACGGCGAUCCAACUUCGAACAAAAAGUCAAUAACGGCUAGUUUUCAGCUCCAACUAUAAAUAAAAUCAAUCAAAUUCAAAUAAGGAUGGAUCACAACAUUAUCAUUGAGCUUGUAAUCGAGAAUACAACAUUCAUUAAGCUUUAAAUUCGUUCUUGAUUUAUUUGUUCACACAUUGAGUAUAGAUUUGUAAUCAUAUAUUUUGUGUGAGAGAAAAACACAUUUGUAAUCUUUGUUUUGAGUGAUUUUAAGUGUUGGGAUACACUUGGGUUAAGAGAUUGGGGAUAAUCUCUUGGUGUAAAGGUUGAUUGACAUAUGUGAAGUCAAUUAUAAGUAUUCUUGAAGCCUUGGGAGGCUUGGAUAGUGAAAUCCUUAAGCCAGGUGACCUUGGAGGCAUGGAUGUGGGCAGGGAUUGCCGAACCACGUAAAAAUCAUUGUGUUUGCUCUUUGUUCCCUUACUCUUUUAUUAUUAUGCUUUAUUAAAUUUAUUGUUUUUGAUUUCAUUAGUGGUGUGUUUGGCACACUGUAUUGUAUUAUGUUGUAUUGUAUUAUUUUAAUACUGGUGUAUUGUAUUUGCUGUAUUGCAUUAGCACUGUAUUAUAAUAAUGUUGUACAAUGGUUGGUGCUACACUGUACUGUAUUGAUUUUUUAAUUAAUUUAAUUUAAAUAUUAUAUUAUAUUAAUGUUUUAUAUUAUAUUAAUAUAUUUAAAUUGUAUUAAUAUUUUAUGUUAUUAUUUAUAUUAUUAUUAAUUUUAAAUUAAUAUUAUUCAAAUUUAAAUAUUUUUAUUAGUUAUAAUAAGUUAUAAAUUUAUUAAUAAAUAAUAAUGUAAAAAUAAAAAAUAAUAUACUAUUAUUGAAUGAUAAAUUAUUUAUUUAUUAAUUUCUAUUAAUAAUUUUAAUGUAAAAACAAAAUUAAUAAAAAUAUUAUAUUAAAUUAAAACUAUAUUUAUUUAUUAAUUAUUUUAGUAGUAUAAUAAUAAUAAAGUAAAAAGAAAAGUCAAAGGAAAAAGAAGAAAAAAAAAAGCAAAGCUAAUGCGUCAGUGACGCAUUAGCCCCCUACCUUAAUUCCUUGUAAAUUUGUUCCAAACAUGGGUUUAAUAUUAUUUUAAUGUAAACAGUAUUUUAAUACCCUAUAAUACAAUGUACCAAACAUGCCCUAAGGAAAUAAAUUGAAUUGUUGUGCGAAUUGUAUCGCAUAAGUUUCAAAAUCUCAAUUCACCCCCCUCUUGGGUUGCCUAGUUAGUAUUUCAGUUAUAACACCGUUAGAACUUUGCUGACAUCAUAAGGGUAAAAUUGUCAUUUCACAACGAUACAGUAGUUGACAAAUGCAAAAUAAUAUAACUUUAAGUUGAGUUCAACAAAAAAAAAAGUAAGAAUUGUGUAUUUUUGAAACAAUACGAAAAAAAAAGGUGGUCAGUGGAUGAUUUAUCUUUUACAUUUUAGGGUAAAAAAGUCAUUUAUACAAUAUUCUGUUAAUUUUCUUAACUGUCUCCAAACGGAAGUGGAUGAGUGAAAAGAAAUGUAACUUCAGGUGGAUUUCAACAAAAAGAAAGAAGAAUUAUGUAUUUUUGAAAAAAUUAAAAAAAAAAAAGGUGGACGGUGGAUAAUUUCUCUAAUUUUUAAUUACCACGUUGAUUAGGUUAAAAAAAAAAUGUUCCCAGCUGUUGAUCACCAUUUCUUUUUUCAAUUUUUUUUCCUAUAAGGAUCAGUUUUCCCCAGUGUUAGUUUGCCUGAUGCCCAAUUAGGUGUCAAAAUACUUGAAAUCAAAACGACUUCGUUUUCAUAUUUUAAUAUAUUUAUUUUUUAUAAGUACACGUGUCUUCAUCUUAUUAAGCUCCAUUUCGGGUGUGGCUACAAUGCCGGGAGAUAAUCUUCAGGAAUGAUGCCGGAUGCCUGGUUCUCACAAAGAGACCCCAACAUUCUUUGGUUGCCAAACAAUAGCCAAUAGCCAAAGACCUAGAACAAUCCAUUUCUUUAACUGGUUGCUAUAUUUAACUAAUUAUUUAAAUUUUAAAAAACUAAAAUAGGAUAAUAUACUAAAUAAUAAAUUUUAAAAAGAUAAUAUUAAUAGAAAGGAAAAAAUAUAAAUAAAUAAAAAGUGAAAGAAAAAUAUGAUCUUAUCAAAAUCAAGAGAAAAAAAUAAAAUAAUAAAAUAAUAAAAGAUAAAAAAUUGUUUCUUAUUUUCAUGUGUAUUGUUAUUGGUCUCAAUUUUAUUAUUGUAAGUACCCCUAAAAUUUUCUUUUCUUCCCCAUUUCAUGUUUAAUAUUCAUAUUUCAUAUAUAAGAUUAACAAUUACUUAUUUAUCGUUAAAUGUUUUAUAUAUAACAGUAUCCAUGUUUAAUGUUUAACAUUGCAUAUUUUACUUGUAAUGUUUCAUAUUACAUGUUAUUAUUUUAUGUGUAAAUUUUAUGUUUCAUGUUUUACAUACAUGUUUCAUGUCUAACAUCGUCUGUCACAUGUAUCAAGUACUGUGUUACAUGUUUACUUUAUACUCAUGUUUAACUUUCAAUGUUUCAUAUCUCAUAUUAUUAUUUCACAUAUAAAUUUCGCGUUUCAUGUUUAUAUCACAUGAUGCAUAUUUGAAGUUUGGUGUUUCAUGUUAAAAAUAAUGCCAAAAUUUUUUAUUUUCUUACCUGUUUCAUGUUCAAUGUUCAUGUUUCAUGUACAACAUCGUACAUCACAUGUAUUAACUAUCAUUUGCAUGUUUACAUUGUAACCAUGUUUAGUGUCUAAUGUAUGUUUACAUUGUACUCAUGUUUAAUGUUUAAUGUUGCAUACUUAAUUUUUGUUUUUGCAUAUUUCAUGUUAUUUUUUAACAUGUAAAUUUUAUGUUUCAUGUUUACAUUACAUGUUGCAUAAGUUUAGUAUUUCACGUUUCAUGUUUGAUUUGUUUAUAGUUGAUUUAGGAAAACAAUUUGUGAUAAAGGACUCUUAUUUCUCUUAAUUUAGAAUCCUACUCUCAUCAUAAUAAGAAGUUUAUGAGUAAUACAUAUAUAUAUAAUUUCAAACCCAAAUAAUCAAUUAAUUAUAGCCAUCAAGCAAUAUCUGUUUAGAAUGUCAAAUAAAACGACAUCGAAUGGAAGUUGUCAAAGACAUGAUCCACACCGAACAGCAAUGACACGGUUGGUCAGAUGCUUCCGUAAUACGUGUAUCUAAUUUUUGAAAAAGUAUAACAUCUGUAUCUAUAAAUAUGCUCAAUGUAUAACGUUUUUACUUAAGAAAUGAAAAACACUCGUUUCUUCAUGGUAUCAGAGCCAAAUUGUGGACCUGCUUACUUGUGAUUAGCGAUGGCAAAUGGGCCAAACGACACGUGGCACAACAUGGGUACAGGCACGACACAUGUCUGUACAGCACGGCACGAUGACGAGCACGUUUCGGUGAAGCACGCAGCACAGUACGGCACGCAAGUGGGUAGGGCCAGAUUUAGAAUUUUAGGCAUGUAAGCCUUAAAAGCACGACGCGAUGAAAAAGUCUGCAAUAAGCACAUUUUAUUUUUUAAUGAAAGUACUUAAAAUUUUAUAAUUUUAUAAAUAACUUGAAAUUAAAAUUUUAAAUUCAUUUAAUUAUUAGUUUAAAAAAUAAUAUAAUUGAUUUAUAUUUAUAAUUUAUUAAAUAAAUAAUUGAUAUCAUGAUUUUAAUGAACACAAUUAUAAAUAUCAUGAUUUUAUAAACAUUCAUAAAUUUUAUUGUGAACUAUGAUAUAUGAAUAAGUCCAAGUUAACAAUUAAGUUAACUCUUAAGAAAAAUUUAUUAUUAUUGUUGUUGUUGUUGUUGUUAAGUAUUAAAAAAAUUCUAAUAUUAUAACGUCGAACUUAGUAAUUACUAUUAGAUUUUCUUACUAUUAUUAGUUUAUUUCUAUUGAAUAUGGACUUGAGUUUUAAGUUUUUGAUUCCAUUAAAUUUGAAUAAAGGCAUAGACAUAAAAUAAGUACAUGACUGGAAAAAAGUACGCCAACAAUUUAACAUUCGCUCUUAAAAAAUUAAAAAAAUGAAAAAAAAAACUAAUUGAGCUUUUUUUUUCUUAGGCACGGCAGGACACAAGCCACGGCACGACAUGUGUGGGCACAACACAUGGCCUAAUAAAAAAAAAUUGGGCACUGUAUGGCACGACACAAAAUACAUCAUGGACGCGAGCACGCAUGAGCCUUUCUUUGUGCGGGCCUGACCGGCACAGCUCAUUGGCCAUCUCUACUUGUGAUGCAGCUAUCUAGAAUACAACCAGAUAAAUUAAUAGCAAGGAUCCUAAAAAAUUUAUUAAUUCAACAAUUAUUAAUUAUCAUUAAAUUAAUAAAUUAUUAAUUUAUGAAUAAUUUUCUUAUUUUAAAAAAAUGAUCACGUUCACAAUAGUUCUUCUUCUUUUUUUCAGAGAACCGAAAACAGUAAUUAAUGAGUUGUAUUUUCCUAAUAGAAUGGGUGUUAAGCACCUCUUACACCAGAAUUUUAUGUGGCUAUCAAAUUAUAAAAAGUAUCAUGAAAAAUAAUAAAUAAUAAAAGGUUGAAGCUGGUAUCAUUCAUAUAGAACCUGUCUCAAUUAAUUACAAGUUAUUUUAAAUAUUUAAAAUCAAAAUAUUGUCCUAAUCAACUUUUAAUUUUAUGCACCAGAAAUUUAUGUGGCUAUCAAAUUAUUAAAAGUAUCAUGAAAAAUAAUAAAGAAUAAAAGGUUGAAGCCCGCAUCUUUUUUAUAGGGGUCCAGCUACGUUACCCCAUAAUGGCUUAGAUCUGAUUAUUGGGUUAUGAAUAUUAAAGAUCCUUAUUGUUCAUGAAAAAAAAAAUCAAAAGUUUUGAAAUUAUGACAUAUAAUUUCAUAAUAUUCUUUUUUUUAAACUCUAUUGAACUAGGUUUCCAAUUAAAUGACUUAUUCUUACAUUUAUUAAUAUCUAUUUAAAUUAAUAAAUUUAUUAAUUAAUAAAUCAACUACUUUAUUAUAUAGUUAAACUAUGUAUAUUAUUUACUAACCAUAAUAAAUGAUAAAUAUAAUAUGAUCUUUUUUUUUUAAUUUAACAUAAUGGCAACCAAUUUCCUCUCACCUAUAUGAACAAAGUUCAAAACCCAUAAUUUUCUUUUUCAACACGAGAUUUUAUUAUACAAGUAGAUGAAAUGUACAAAAUACAAAAAUAAAUUUAAUUUCAUAUUCUAUGUAGUUAAUUUUUUUGUAACAUAUUAUUUAUUAAACAUACUAUCAAUUAUUUAAUUAUUUAGUAAAAAUAUGUUAAUUUACUAAUAAUAAUAAAAUGUUAGUUUACGAACUUGUAAAAUCUUUUUUUUAACAAUGAGUUUUGUAUUUUUGUUUGAAUUUUUGUCCUUAAAUAAAAAAUAAAUAAAUUUAAUUGCACACUUAAAUAAAUUGGUAUUUGUUACUCCACUCGAACUGUUUAAAUAGUCAUUAACUUAUCUGAGAGAAAGGUAAAAAAAUUCUAAACAAUUGCUCUAUUUGAAAAUAAUUUAAAUAGUUCUUUAGAAAAAUAAACUAAAAGUAAGUAUUUUCUAUUAUUUCUUCUUUCUUGGUAACAUCACACAUGGAUAAAAAUAGAGAUGGCAAUUCAACACACAUCUAUCAAUUAAAAUAGAAGUCAAUUAAUAUAAUUAGUUGAAUAAUUAAUUGUGUCAUGAAUGAGUUAUCAUAUUAGGAGUUUUAAAACCAAACCCAUUACAAUUAUUAAUCGAGUUAACAGCUAGAAAGAGCAAACAAAUUCAUUCAAGUUGGAUAUCUAAGUAUCUUAUCUAAAUAGAUUGUAUAAUAUCCAUCUAAAAUACUCCGGAUUUGAUUUAUUUAAUAUCCAUCAAUUAACUUGAAUAUUAGUAAUAUUUAAGUGUAUGAGACUAAAAUUGAGUAUUAUAUUUAAUAUUUAAGUUUUGUAAAUCAAAAUAAUAUUGCUAAAAAUUAUUGCACCAUCAAUGACAAUAAUGAUGGUAUCAUCAUUAAGAAAUAGAAGUGAGUGAAUAGAAAAACAAAAACUAUCAACGUAUUUAAAAUUCUCCGAUCAAUGUAAAGGUGGCAAUGUUGCCGGAUAAAUAGAUAUGUCGGUGAUAGAUGAGCCUUCCAAUGCAAACAACUAUAAAAAGACCCUAUGAUUAGAUGACGUUUUGAUGUAGGGCAGAAGCGAUACUAAAUUUCAUUCUAACGUACAUCUUGAAAACUCAAGAAAGAGGCUCUCACUAAAGAGAAGAUAUCUCAAUUGAGAAAAAACUGAAUAUUAUUAAUGAGAAGCUUGUGUCUGUUAUCAUAAAUUAAGAAUAACAAGCCUAUAUAUAUAAUAGUAGUUAACUUAAUCCUAAUCUUUGUCAAAUAAGAGAAAUAAUCUAAAAUGCUAAUUAGAUUAGAAUUACAAAUAUAACUCAAGUAAGCUUAAUAAAAUAAGAUAAAUUCUAAUAAAAUACUAAAUUCUAAAUUGACCCAAAUAUUAUAAUUCCUAGUAAAUUCUAAUUUAUUCAUUUUUUUUUAUAAAUUUGUUUGGUUUUUGGGUUUUUUUUAAAGAACAGAAAAUUAUAGGUAAUAGCAUAAGUAUAGAAAAGUAAUAGUAUAAGGCCAACAACAGAAGAAGGGGAAGGUUUGGCGUGAACGAUGACGAGUUUGAAAGGAGGAUUGACAGUCGAAUUUGCGAAGAAAUGAACGAGCGUCCAUUGAAGCGCGUAGGUGCCGUGCUCGCUAUCGUCGAUCCCUACCACCAUCGUUUGUGUCUCAGCCGUCGCCAUUGAGACGAUGACGACACAACCUUUUUUUUUAAUUUUUUCCCUUUUUUGCUGUGUGUUAUUUAGAAAGCUGCAGAGUUUGUUCGAUUUCGAAUCUAUAUAAGCGAACAAAUCUAAGAGACAGCGAAAUGAUCAUACUUUUUAUCUAGAUAAGAUGAGAACGUAGCAAGUAAAGGAAGUUGCGGGCGAUUGGCGGAAAGUGCUUUAAGAAGUCUGGAGUUUAAUUUUGAAAAGUUAAAAAAAAUUAAUUUUAGUAUUUAUUUUUUAGGGUUAUAAAUUAAUUUUAAAAUAUUAAAAAUUAUUUUUAAUAUCCGGCAAAUUACUUUAAAAAUUAUUUUUAGAAAAAUCAGUUUAUUUUAGAGCAUCUCCAAAAGAUUUUUCAAAUAAAAUUAUACUUCUUAUUUGAUGAGUCAUAUCAAUAUUAAACACUCUAAAAGAUAUGUUAAUUUAGAUUCUUCAAAUAAGAUUUGUUUCUCACUCUUCAAUAUUACCGAGUGAGUUUCUCCCUCUUCUAUUAAUAUUUUAUUAUUAAUUAUUGAAAAGAUAAGACUACAAUAAUUAUUAUUUAUGUUUCCUUUAAAAAACAUAACAACAAUUCAAUUUAAUAGUGGAAAUAUUUUAUUAAAAUAAUGUUAACUUAUUAUUAUUUGAUGAGUCUUUUGGAGAAGAUUGUAUUUUUCCAUCCACUUAUUUCCCACAUCAGUAAGCAAAUUGAUAUUUGAAGAGUAAAAUCUAAAAAGUCUUUUGGAGAUGCUCAUAGUAGNNNNNNNNNNNNNNNNNNNNNNNNNNNNNNNNNNNNNNNNNNNNNNNNNNNNNNNNNNNNNNNNNNNNNNNNNNNNNNNNNNNNNNNNNNNNNNNNNNNNUUUUAAAAUCUAAUUUUGAGAAUUAAUUUUAUAUCUAAUAGUUCCAUAUAUUAAAAAAAUUAAAAUUAAUCUUAUUAAUUAAAAAAUAAAAUCAUUAAAUUUAAAGAUAUUAUUAUUAUUUAAAAUACAAUCAAAAGUUUUGAAAUUUUGACAUAUAAGUCCAUAAUAUUUUUUUUUUUUUAACUCUAUUGAACUAGGUUUCCAAUUAAAUGACUUAUUCUUACAUUUAUUAAUAUCUAUUUAAAUUAAUAAAUUUAUUAAUUAAUAAAUUAACUACUUUAUUAUAUAGUUAAACUAUGUAUAUUAUUUGCUAACCAUAAUUAAUGAUAAGUAUAAUAUGAUUUUUUUUUUAAUUUAACAUAAUGGUAACCAAUUUCCUCUCACCUAUGUGAACAAGAUUCAAAACCCAUAAUUUUCUUUUUCAACACAAGAGAUUUUAUUAUCUCAAGUAGAUGAAAUGUACAAAAUACAAAAAUAAAUUUAAUUUCAUAUUCUAUGUAGUUAAUUUUUUUUUGUAACAUAAUAUUUAUUAAACAUACUAUCAAUUAUUUAAUUAAUAAGAUUAUUUUUAGAAAAAUUUGUUUAUUUUAUAGUAGAUUUUGAGAAGUAUGAAAUGAGUAAUUUUUUAAAAUCUAAUUUUGAGAGUUAAUUUUAUAUCUAAUAGUUCCAUUUAUUAAAAACAUUUAAAAUUAAUCUUAUUAAUUAAAAAAUAAAAUCAUUAAAUUUAAAGAUAUUAUUAUUAUUGCUAUUUAUAUUGUGAUAACAAAAUAAAAAAAAUAAAAAAAUAAAAUAUUUUUUUAAUUAUCAAUUAUUUUCUAUACACAUAAAAAAUAUUUUAUAAAUGUGUGAAUAAAUUUUACUUAACAUUAUAUUGAAUUCAAUUAUUUGUAUGCUUACAAUAGUUUAAUAAGUAAAAUUUACUAAAUACAUAAUACUAUUUUUAAAACUCAUAACAUUUUUUAAAAAUAAAAUUUACCAAAUACUUAAUUAAUUCUUUUCGUAAUUGAUUAUUUCUAGAUUAUAGUAAUCAUUUAAAAGCUUAUUAUUUACCAAAUUAGUCCUAAAAUUCAAACGUUCAUUGGAUGUUUACGUAAUUUUGCUAUCAACUAGGCAACAUUUUAUUGUAAUUUUACAAUCCAGCCCAUACUAACAUGGGCCAGGCCGAGUUCGAGAAAUCGAACCUACUAACCUACAGCCAAUAAUAUUUAUUACCACGUUGAUUAGGGUAAAAAAAAAAAAAAAAAUUGUUCCCAGCUGUUGGUCAGCAUUGCAUUUUUGAGUUUUCUUUCUUUUUUAUUUUAUUUUAUUUACAAGGAUCAGCUUUCCCGAGUGUUAAUUUGCCAAAUAGGGGUGUUCGUGGAUCGAAUUUUACGGAUUAGAUAUCAAUCCAUAUCCGAUCCAUAAUUUUAUAGAUUAUAAAUUUUCAAUCCAAUUAAAUCCACGGAUUGGUGAAACUCAAUCCAUAUAUUUGUGGAUCGAAUAUGUAUUUAACCUAAUUCACAUCCAAGCCAUCAUUUUACAAAUUGAUUUAUGAAAUUUUAAUUUUUAAUUUUGUCCAAUCUAUGAAGUAAUUAAAUUAAAAAAAUCUAAUAUAAAACAAUUUUACUACUAAUUAAAUUCAAAAUUGAAUAAAAUUUAAAGAAAUUAAUUGUUUAAAUAAAGAUAGAAUAAUACAUUCAAUGUUUCAAUAACAUGUCGAAAAGAAUAACAUGCUACAAUCUCAUUUGUUUAUAUCAAUACGUGAAAUUUAACUAAAAUUAUGAAUUUAAAUAUAUACAAAAGUUGAAACUUGAGACCUUAGAUGUAACAAGAAAAAAAUUAAGAAAUUUGAAGAGCUUGAAAAUAAAGUAAGAAAUUAUAAGUACCUCAAUUGCUGAAGUGAAACAGCGAUGGCUUGUGCGUGCAACUGGGUGAGGUUUGGUAGUAUGUGCUAAUUAAAUGUUUUGUUUGGCUUAGGGUUUUUUUUUUUGUUCUGGUUAAGAAUUUUUAAUAUUUAGGAAGUUAUAUUUGCUUAUUUUUUAAUUAACUAUUCAAAUAUUUAAUUAUUUUUUAAUUUAUAUAUAACAUGGUGUUAAUUUAAUUAUAUUUUAACUUAUCAUUUAUUCGUAAGUACCAAUGCUACAUUUGCAAGUUUUAUUUUUUAAUCAAAUAAAUAUUUUUUAUUUUUGUAGAAUCACGGAUUUAUAGAAGUAAAUCUAUAUUCAAUUAACCGACUGUAGAUUUUCAAAAUUUUCAAUCCAAUCCAAUCCGCCAAUCCACAAAUUGGAUUUUUACAGAUUAGAUGGAUUAAGCGGAUCGAAUUAGAUUCUGAACACCUCUACUGCCACCAAUUAGGUGUCAAAAUAAUUGAAAUAAAAACGUCUUUGUUUUCGUAUUUUAUAUAUUUAUUUCUUUUAUAAGUACAUGUGUCUUCAUUUAAUUAGGCUCCAUUUCGGGUGUGGCUACAAUGCCAAGAGGCAAUCUCCAGACAUGAUGCCGAGUUCUGAGAGAGAGAGCCCAACAUUCUUUGGAUGCCAAAUGGCAGUCAAAGACCUAGAACAACUAAUUUCUUUAACUGAUUACUAUAUUUAACUAAUUAUUUAAAUUUUAAAAAUUGAAAUAGGAUAAUAUACUAACUAAAAAAUUUUGAAAAGAUAAUAUUAAUCGAAAGGGAAAAAAAGAUAAAUAAAUAAAAAAAAUGAAAGAAAAAUAAUAUCUUAUCAAAAUCAAGAAAAAAAAGUUUAUAUAAUAAAAGACAUUAAUUUGUUUCUUAUUUUAUAUGUGUUAUCUCAUAUUUGACAUUAAUUUGCUCCUAUGCUGUGCUCGGGGUUAAAUCCUUGUAUGUAUUUUGUAAGUAGGUUUAAUUAGAUUUAAGGGCUUGGAUUCUAUGUAGUCAAAAUACCCGGGACACAUUAAAUAAAACAAGAUGGCUGUAUUGUUCUGAAAUUUCUAGACGCGUUGAAAUUGUGGACCUGCUUACUUGUGAUACAGCUAUCUAGAAUACAACCAGAUAAAUUAAAAGCAAGGAUACUAAAAGGUUUAUUAAUUUAACAAUUAUUAUUUAUCAUUAAAUUAAUAAAUUAUUAAUUCAUGAAUAUGUUUCUUAUUUUAAAAAAUAUGAUCGCGUUCAUAAUAGUUUUUUUUUUUUUCCAGAGAACUGAAAAUAGUAAUUAAUGAGUUGUAUUGUCCUAAUAGAGUGGGUGUUAAGCACCUCUUACACCAGAAUUGUUUGUGUCUAUCAAAUUUUAAAAGUAUCAUGAAAAAUGAUACAGAAUAAAAGGUUGAAUCUAACAUCUUUCCUACAGAACCUGUCUCAAUUAAUUAAAAGUUACUUCAAAUAUUGGCAAACCCUAAGUUUCAUAUAAUGUAACUUACAACCACACACAUGAACAACGCGUGAACCCCACACCACAUAUUAUUUAUGUGUGUGGUUGUAAGUUACAUUACAUGUAAUUUAGAGGGAUCCUUAAAUAUUUAAAAUCAAAAUAUUGUCCUAAUCAACUUUUAAUUUUCAUGCUAUGAUUCAUACUGUGAUUAACAAGGAAAUUCUACAAAGGGGAGGGUAAAGAAACAAGCAAGCGAAGAAACAAGGAGAACAUUAAUGAACAUAAAACAUUACUAUGAAACAUUUGAAGCAUAUGAACUUUGAUGAAACGUUUAGAUGUUUACAUAAAUAUAAGUUAAAUUAUGAUAUUUGAUGACAGCCCAUUUUCAACCGCAAUUGUAAAAUGCAAGAUACAAUAGAUAUCAUACAGUAUCCAACUGAUUCAUACCAUCUUAUUAUGUGUUUACUAAUCAUGAAGCAGAGUAACUGCAGCUUAGUGCUUGGUUUUAGGCCUCUUCACUAUCAUCACCGUGCAGUGAGCAUGAUGAGCACAAUAAUCACUUACACUGCCCAAAACCGCCCUGCAAAAGAAUCGAUCUCGGUUACAAGUCAUCAGAAUCCCCAACAGGAAAUAAAUGAAACCUACUAACCCUCUCAUUCAACAAAAUUUGUAAACCCAUAAUACGUAUGACAUUCCCAGCGAAAGAACACUGAAAUAGAAACCGAUCAAUUUUAUUUUUUUUUCAAAGGUAGAGGAGAAGGCAAAUCCCAAAUUAAAUUUUUAGCAUCAAUUUGCAUUUGGGUGGCCAGUCAGAGAAAAGCGUUUUACUACAUCUCA